AUUGAACGCUAGCGGGAUGCUUUACACAUGCAAGUCGAACGAGUGGCGGGCGGGUGAGUAAUAUAUCGGAACGUGCCCAGUAGGGGGGGCUAACUACUCGAAAGCGUGGCUAAUACCGCACCCUAUUGGAGCGGCCUCUUUCGGAUUAGCUAGUUGGUGGGGUAAAGGCUCACAAAGGCAACGAUCCGUAGCUGGUUUGAGAGGAUGACCAGCCACACUGGGACUGAGACACGACCCAGACUCCUACGGGAGGCAGCAGUGGGGAAUCUUUGGCAAUGGGGUCAACCCUGACGCAGCCAUCCCGCGUGUAUGAGAAGGCCUUCGGGUUGUAAAGUACUGUUGUCAGAGAAGCGGUAUCUUCAGAAUAAGCACCGGCUAACUACGUGCCAGCAGCCGCGGUAAUAC
rnacentral:rRNA from 1 species